CCCUUAGAUGUUCUGGGCCGCACACGCGCUACACUGAAGGAGGCACCGUGUACUCCUGGAUCGAAAGAUUUGGGUAACCCGCGAAUCUCCUUCGUGCUAGGGAUUGAGGUUUGCAAUUAUCCUUCAUGAACGAGGAAUUCCCAGUAAGUGCAAGUCAUAAGCUUGCGCUGACUACGUCCCUGCCCUUUGUACACACCGCCCGUCGCUACUACCGAUUGAAUGAUUUAGUGAGGACUUCGGACUGGGACCGAUGCGGCUUUCGGGCUGCGUCGGUAUUCUGGAAAGAUGUCCAAACUGUAUCAUUUAGAGGAAGUAAAAGUCGUAACA
rnacentral:rRNA from 1 species